rnacentral:rRNA from 1 species
CCUACGGGGGGCAGCAGUGAGGAAUAUUGGUCAAUGGGCGCGAGCCUGAACCAGCCAAGUAGCGUGAAGGAAGAAGGUACAGCGUAUCGUAAACCUCUUUUGUCAGGGAACAAAGGCGGGGACUAGUCCCCGGAUGAGGGUACCUGAAGAAAAAGCAUCGGCUAACUCCGUGCCAGCAGCCGCGGUAAUACGGAGGAUGCGAGCGUUAUCCGGAUUUAUUGGGUUUAAAGGGUGCGCAGGCGGCCUGUUAAGUCAGCGGUAAAAGCCCGGGGCUCAACUCCGGGACUGCUUUUGAAACUGUUGAACUAGAUUGCAGGAGAGGUAAGUGGAAUUCCUAGUGUAGCGGUGAAAUGCGUAGAUAUUAGGAGGAACACCAGUGGCGAAGGCGGCUUACUGGACUGUAAAUGACGCUGAGGCUCGAAAGCGUGGGGAGCAAACAGGAUUAGAUACCCUUGUAGUC